AUGCAGCUUGCAAGGGAAACAUGAAUUCAGAGGAAGCUGCACAAAUUUCCAGAAGAACUAGUAGGCUUCAUCUUCUGCACAAAAUUCUGCUUCAUCUUUAGUUAAGUUUUGUUUGCUUUCUAUUUCUUUUUGGUCUUUAGUUUCAUCCUAUAUUAUUAUUAGUUAACUGGUUUCAAUUUCGUUCCUUGGGUUUGAGUUUCUUCUCCAAAAUCCCUGGUUGAAUCAUGGAUAAGAGCAUGUUAGCUGGUUUUGAAUCACUUCUAGAAGCUGAUCAGCAAUGAAUGGCAUCCAUGAUGGAAUAGGUUCAAAUUUGUGACAGGUUGAUAGCACCGUUAAGCAUAAACAAAACUUUGAUAGAUUUCUGAUUAGUCAGAAACCCCUUUCCAACGUUAAUACGAGUGCUAAAAAAUGUGAUCACUAUUACUCACUUGCGAAAGAUUUUCUCGAGAUUACACCUCGGAAGACAAUUGGAGAAUUGAAGGAAUGUAAAGAGGAUGGUGAUUAUGCUGUGUAUGGUACAAUUAUGGGAGUGAUUGGUGGACUUGAUUGGUUUGUUGCUCAAUAUAGAUGUGGCAGUGAAGUUGUUCUGAAGCUUGGGUCAUACUAUUGCGAAAAGUCUUCAAAGCAUAUUGAUUUGUUUUCUUUGAAGUUAUAGUGUUGGUAUGAGGUUUAUUUAUGUUGAUUAUUUCAUUUGUAUAUAUUAUAAAAACAGGUAUAGAAUUAAGGUGAAAGUUAUUGAUUCCUCAGGGAGUGCAACCUUUGUCAUAUUUGAAAAGCUUGGAUGCCUUUUGCUACAUAAGUCCUGCACUGAGAUUUUUAUUAUUUAAAGAAAUUAUUUAGUAUAA